AUCAACGCUGGCGGCGUGCCUCAGACAUGCAAGUCGAACGAUUAAAGCUCUCUUCGGAGAGUGUAUAGAGUGGCGCACGGGUGAGUAACACGUAAGUAAUCUACCUUUGAGUGGGGAAUAACGUUCGGAAACGAACGCUAAUACCGCAUAAUGCAGCGGCACCGCAAGGUGACAGUUGUUAAAGGAGCAAUCCGCUUAAAGAGGAGCUUGCGGCAGAUUAGCUAGUUGGUGAGGUAAUGGCUUACCAAGGCUACGAUCUGUAACCGGUCUUAGAGGACGGUCGGUCACACUGACACUGAAUAACGGGUCAGACUCCUACGGGAGGCAGCAGUCGGGAAUUUUGGGCAAUGGGCGAAAGCCUGACCCAGCAACGCCGCGUGAAGGAUGAAGUAUUUCGGUAUGUAAACUUCGAAAGAAUAGGAAGAAUAAAUGACGGUACUAUUUAUAAGGUCCGGCUAACUACGU
rnacentral:rRNA from 1 species